GGCCAACAUAUGGCCGCAAAAUGAUGAAGGGCUAUCUGUCCACAAAAGGGGUACAUGCUGCAGAGGGACGAAUUGGGUCAAUUUUAAGAGAGGUGCAUCAACCUUAUCAUGAAGCAAGACGCCAGGGAGCUCGGAAUCUUAAUCCCACACCGUACCAUGCUGAAUGCAUGGGGCACAAGGUUCACCUGGACCAAAACGAGAAACUUGUAAUGUUUGGA